CGAUCGAAUGGUAAUGUGAUCAAAAAAUUUAAAAAUGGCUACAACAAAUUUUCUAGAUGACAUAUUCCUGAUUUAUUCGUUUUGAAUUAAGCAAAAAAUGUUAUUCCUACGUCAUUUUUUUGUAAAAUAGAAAAUACAGUUUUUUUUUCCUCUUGUGAACUCAAUCCGGGGACAUACUGUAUGUAACAACAUCUAGUAUUUUAAUGUCAGCCUACUGAUAUCCAUAUCCAUAAUCGCAAUGUUUAUCUUCUUCGAAUAGUUUCUACUGAAGAAUUUAAUGAAUAAAAUUUUAUCUGUAAAAUGAGCAAAUGUAUUAGUUAAAAUAACAUUAAAGACAAAAAGA